rnacentral:lncRNA from 1 species
CUUAACACUACAACUCUAAUGCAGAAUCUUACUCCAGAAUGAGCACUUCCCAAUCUCAGGUUGUAUUACAAUCAUCCAGUGAUCCACAUAACAUUAGGAUGAACCCUGCUAUUCUCCACUCAGGCGGAGAGAGAAAGAUGAUUAAACGAUAAGUUUGUUCCAGUCAUUGGCAGCAGAGAACUGUAAGGAAAGGCAGCCAAAGGAGGAAUUGGCUUUGGGGGUGACCAGUGAGAUAUACCUGCUGGAGCACGUGCUACGGCCUUCUGCCGAGGCAGCGUAGCUACAACGCUUGAGCUGGUCCCAUGGAUGAAUCAGAGCGGUAGAACCUCCUCAUUAUUGUGGUGUUGUUGUCUUAACCUUCCCAUCUUCAAUCCAGACACAUGCCAGGAAGUAAAAGCAGCAACAGAUAAAUAUACAGUCGUG